rnacentral:lncRNA from 1 species
UCCUGACAGAAGUUAGGAAGGACCUUGUGACUGAGCAUUUGAUGAUCUUUAUUUUCUCUAGGUAUCUGCAAUAAAUUUCACAGUUAUAAAAGUGGAAGCUGUGGAUAGAGAUUUUUCACCUACUUGGAACUUCCUUACUUACAGUCUUUCAGGUCCAAACUCUGAUUACUUUUAUAUAAGGGAAGGAGAUGGAAACAUCAUGGUUAAUAAAACAUUGGAUUACAACAAGAUCAACCUUUUCAAUUUAACAGUUGAAGCAAAGGAAAAAUUUGGAAAUAACAGGGAUACUGCAUCAUUACUAAUUAAUGUACAAGAUUAUGAUACGAUGAACCCCUAUUUCAGUCAAUCAGUGUACAAUGGAAACAUCAGUGAAAACCAGUUGGGUCCUCUGACUAUUCUCCCAGAGAAGAUAUUAGCUAAAGAUGGAGAUACAGGUAUAAAUGAAAAAGUACUUUACAGCAUCAAACUAGGUAAGAGCCUUUAUUUUCUCCUAGACAUUCACGCAGUAAUGAAGAGAACUAAGAGAAUAAUAAUGAAGUGUAGUGUGCAGUCAGAUGCCUUAACUGCAUACAUCUUCACUACAGUGCUGCUCUGUCAGCUAAAUUGGCUUAAUUUUAGACAUUAUAGCAGGCUCCAG